CCGACUAGCGGGCGGUGAUUGGCGGCGUGCUGGACGGCGAGGUGCUCGGCGGAGAAUUCUCAUCGGAUAAUUCCCUCGCUCCCCUCUCCAUCUCUCCCCCGUCCUCUCGUGCGACUCGGAGACCGACAGCCGCAGCGGUGAUGGAGCGUACAACGAUUUUGCGGCGGCGACCAAUCCCAAAUCCAUCCCACUGCUCAGUCGGAUAAGGCGCUUGCGACAACCAACAUUCACCGAACCAGAUUUUCCAUUUCCUCGACAGGCGGCUCCGGCACAGGAAUAAAAGUGCGCCCUAUGUCCAGAAGCUAUGCCACGGCCGCCUACAAUUCCACCCAGGAUAUAGCUAACUUGCAUGCAUGUUUGAUUUCUGAUCUUUUCCCAAUAUGUCCUGUUCAUUCAAUUUUAUACGGUCAUAUUUUAGCCAGGCUCCAUAUAUCCAUAGUUGCAAAACAAUUCUUCAGAUUUCCUUGGUAAAAUUUCUGGAAUAUUACAUAAUAUUGGCUGUGCCAUCAUAAGCAUUUGUUUAUCCCCUAGUAUAAAAAUACCAAAGUGAGGUCUCUAUACAUACAUACGAGAAGCACCUCUUUAAUUAGUAAUUUGCUGGUAGAAACAUCGAUCGGUUAUUACUGGACAUGAACUAGCUUUUACAAAUGCAAUAGGUAAUUGCGUGGAAAUUGUUCUGAGAAAUUGUUGUCGAGAUAGGUAAUUACAUACUUGAGAACAGUUGCUCUUUAAGAUUUCUUGAGCUUUAUUCCGGGUGCUCAAGUGAAGCAAUUGCUUCUCACUGAAGGGUCUGUUUAUUUCUUGGACGGGUCAGGUUGUUCCUGUUUUCUCUUUCAUUCAGAUGUACCUUGGAUUUGUAAAUCAGAAAGUCUGAUGCUCAACGAGAUUCAGGUCGCGCUAAGACAUCAACAAUCAGUGCCGACAAGCCUCCACUAUCUAUUGCAGAAAUGAAGAACCGUGUUGAUUGCUUAUCCUGAAUAUGAUUUUGGGCAAAUAGGACCUGACUAGCUUCUAAAUCUGCUGAACUGUACUGAUCAUAGUGUGAAACUAAUUUUGCUUUUUCUCUUCUAAAGGCCAUCUCACGUUCGCAAUGAUUCAUAAUUUGCCAGAGGAGGUGGCUCAGUUGGAAGUUAUGUUCAGUUUCUUGAUUCUUAUGCUAAUUCUCUGUCCAUUUGUAAGACGGCUGGUGAUGUUCAGAAUAAUAAGGGAAGUGCCUUGCACCUGAAUGUCAAAUGAAAAGUAGAGCUGAAGGUUGUGGUCUGUAUCCUUGCCAUGGUGGCUCCUUGCUGAUACAGGCUUUUAUAUUUGAAUGCUCGCUACUCUCGCACAUAUAUAGAUUUUUCAUUAUAGAUGCAAAUUUGGAGCCGCUUAAAUUUGCUUGCCUGUCGUUUUACUUAGCAAUCUGCAAGAAAAAGCAAGACACCAUAGAUUGCUUGGCAAUAAAGAUCGACCUAAAUUAGCAAUUUGUGUGUAGCCUUAGAAAUCUAUAUAUUUAUUAAAUUCUAAGUUACUUGUGCUCGCGUCCUUAAUGAGAUGGUUGCUUUGCCUUAUGAUCAAAUUUUCAAUUGCUAAUGGUGACUACAUUAGACUGUUUAAGCAACUAAGGAACUCAAGUUCCAUGGUGACUACAAGUCAUGAGUGGCCUCUGCACUAUUCUUGUAUGUUCUUCUAUUUUCAAUGGAAGCAUUCAAUCAUUUUUUUUCUCUCGCAGAAGUUUAUAUACCUCUCCAUGGAUCAUUCAGGUGUAAAAAUAUGGAUUUUCACUUUUGACCUGCAGUAUUUGACGGUCUCUAUGUGGAGGGUUUCAGAACUUUCUCUAGGCGCAGACCUGAAUACUAGCAGUACACGCUUGCAACUAGCAAAAAAUGCAAGAUGCAGGGUCGCGUUUUCUUUUUCCAAUGCAUGGUAUCUGUUCAGGUGGAUGACCGCUAAUUUAUGUGGGAUAGGAAUGUCUUCAUAUUUGUGGUUUUGGUGAGAAGAAAGGUGAACCUAAUGGCUACAGCACUAUCAAGAAGAAUGUUUCAAUCGCUGGAGAAAUUGAGGAACAAAUGAUGGCUGGUGUGGCGAACAUCGAGGGAUUCUUUGGAUCAUGCUUUGAUUUAACCAAUACUCCGUCCGUCCCAAAUUAGUUGAGUUAGAUUUGUCUAACACUAAAACUGUCUAGAUACAUUCGUAUCUAUAUAAAUCUGAGUCAAGUAAUUCAGAACAGAGGGAGUAUAUGUUUAGCGUUACUAGAUCAAGACCUGAGUGAGGUUCUAGCUAAAAUGAAUAUGUUAAAUGCAAAAAAGAGAUUUCAGAAUCAUAAUGAAUUUUGGAGCGCCUGAGAA